rnacentral:rRNA from 1 species
UACAGAGGUCCCAAGCGUUGUUCGGGUUCACUGGGCGUAAAGGGUGCGUAGGUGGUCGGGUAAGUCUGAUGUGAAAUCUCCGAGCUUAACUCGGAAAUGGCAUUGGAUACUAUUCGGCUAGAGGGUUUGAGGGGGGACUGGAAUACUUGGUGUAGCAGUGAAAUGCGUAGAUAUCAAGUGGAACACCAGUGGCGAAGGCGAGUCCCUGGAAAACUCCUGACACUGAGGCACGAAAGCUAGGGGAGCAAACAGG